rnacentral:rRNA from 1 species
GACGAACGCUGGCGGCGUGCCUAAUACAUGCAAGUAGAACGCUGAAGGAGGAGCUUGCUUCUCUGGAUGAGUUGCGAACGGGUGAGUAACGCGUAGGUAACCUGCCUGGUAGCGGGGGAUAACUAUUGGAAACGAUAGCUAAUACCGCAUAAUAGUAGAUGUUGCAUGACAUUUGCUUAAAAGGUGCAAUUGCAUCACUACCAGAUGGACCUGCGUUGUAUUAGCUAGUUGGUGGGGUAACGGCUCACCAAGGCGACGAUACAUAGCCGACCUGAGAGGGGGGUCGGCCCACAUGGGACUGAGACACGGCCCAGGCCCCUACGGGGGGCAGCAGUAGGGAAUUUUCGGCAAUGGAGGGAAGUCUGACCGAGCAACGCCGCGUGAGGGAAGAAGGUUUUCGGAUCGUAAAGCUCUGUUGUAAGGGAAGAACGAGUGGGGGAGGGGAAAGUUCACGCUGUGACGGUAUCUUACCAGAAAGGGACGGCUAACUACGUG